ACGGCUGUCAGAUUAUUGGGCGUAAGGGCUCGCAGGCGGUUUCUUAAGUCUGAUGUGAAAGCCCCCGGCUCAACCGGGGAGGGUCAUUGGAAACUGGGAAACUUGAGUGCAGAAGAGGAGAGUGGAAUUCCACGUGUAGCGGUGAAAUGCGUAGAGAUGUGGAGGAACACCAGUGGCGAAGGCGACUCUCUGGUCUGUAACUGACGCUGAGGAGCGAAAGCGUGGGGAGCGAACAGGAUUAGAUACCCUGGUAGUCCACGCCGUAAACGAUGAGUGCUAAGUGUUAGGGGGUUUCCGCCCCUUAGUGCUGCAGCUAACGCAUUAAGCACUCCGCCUGGGGAGUACGGUCGCAAGACUGAAACUCAAAGGAAUUGACGGGGGCCCGCACAAGCGGUGGAGCAUGUGGUUUAAUUCGAAGCAACGCGAAGAACCUUACCAGGUCUUGACAUCCUCUGACAACCCUAGAGAUAGGGCUUUCCCUUCGGGGACAGAGUGACAGGUGGUGCAUGGUUGUCGUCAGCUCGUGUCGUGAGAUGUUGGGUUAAGUCCCGCAACGAGCGCAACCCUUGAUCUUAGUUGCCAGCAUUCAGUUGGGCACUCUAAGGUGACUGCCGGUGACAAACCGGAGGAAGGUGGGGAUGACGUCAAAUCAUCAUGCCCCUUAUGACCUGGGCUACACACGUGCUACAAUU
rnacentral:rRNA from 1 species